UCCGGUUUGUCACCGGCAGUCUCCCUGGAGUGCCCUUGCGUAGCAACUAGGGACAAGGGUUGCGCUCGUUGCGGGACUUAACCCAACAUCUCACGACACGAUCUGACGACAGCCAUGCAGCACCUGUGCAUGAGCUCCGAAGAGGGCCCCUGGUUUCUCAGGGGUUUCCCAUGCAUGUCAAGCCCAGGUAAGGUUCUUCGCGUUGCGUCGAAUUAAACCACAUGCUCCACCGCUUGUGCGGGCCCCCGUCAAUUCCUUUGAGUUUUAAUCUUGCGACCGUACUCCCCAGGCGGAUGACUUCACGCGUUAGCUGCGUUACUAAGGGAUUUAACUCCCCCAACAACUAGUCAUCAUCGUUUAGGGCGUGGACUAC
rnacentral:misc_RNA from 1 species